GUUCUGAGCUCAGUCAGUAAAGCAUGAGAUGCUUAAUCUCAGGGUCAUGGGUUUGGGCCCCAUGUUGGGCA